rnacentral:tRNA from 1 species
UAAGGAUUUAAGUUAUAAAACUAUCAACCUUCAAAGUUGAAAAUAAAGGCGAUUCUUUAAGCCUU